rnacentral:tRNA from 1 species
GAAGUGGUGGUUGAGGGGAAGAAUUCUUGCCUUCGGUGCAGGAGACCCAGGUUUGAUUCCCGGCCAAUGCA